CCAGGCGCGAAAACUUUACAAUGCUGGAAACGGUGAUAAGGGAACCCCGAGUGCCAGGAUACUAAGGCUGGCUGUUCUGAUGACUAAACAGCUUAGCAAAGGACGGGGCGGGAAAGAUGGGUGCCGCCCCCCGCGUAAACACCGGCCGAUCGAGGGGCACCCGUUAUUAUUGGAUCUAAAGGGUCUGUAGCCGGUCGGGUAACUCUCUAGGGAAAUCUGGUAACUUAACUGGCAUGCUUUCAAGACAUACUGACUGGCUCCAGGCCAAGAGAAGUGAGACGUACUUCAUGGGAAGGGGUGAAAUCUUGUAAUCCUUGAAGGACCACCAGUGACGAAGGCUCUCUCACCAGAACUCGCACACUGACAGGGAGGGACGAAAGCUGAGGGCAACCAACCGGAUUACAUACGCCGGGUACUCCCAGCCGUAAACCAUACUCAGCUAGGUGUCGGCACCCGAGCCACCGUGGUCCGUGACCAUAAGGAAGCCGUGAAGCCAGCCGCCUGGGAAGUACGGCCGCGAGACUGAAACUUAAAUGAAUUGGCGAGGGAACAC
rnacentral:rRNA from 1 species